rnacentral:rRNA from 1 species
GAGUUUGAUCCUGGCUCAGAGCGAACGCUGGCGGCAGGCCUAACACAUGCAAGUCGAACGAACUCUUCGGAGUUAGUGGCGGACGGGUGAGUAACACGUGGGAACGUGCCUUUUGGUUCGGAAUAACUCAGGGAAACUUGUGCUAAUACCGAAUGUGCCCUUCGGGGAAAGGAAUUUAUCGCCAUUAGAGCGGCCCGCGUCUGAUUAGCUAGUUGGUGAGGUAAAGGCUCACCAAGGCGACGAUCAGUAGCUGGUCUGAGAGGAUGAUCAGCCACAUUGGGACUGAGACACGGCCCAAACUCCUACGGGAGGCAGCAGUGGGGAAUCUUGCGCAAUGGGCGAAAGCCUGACGCAGCCAUGCCGCGUGAAUGAUGAAGGUCUUAGGAUUGUAAAAAUUCUUUCACCGGGGACCGAUAAAUGACGGUACCCGGAGAAGAAGCCCCGGCUAACUUCGUGCCAGCAGCCGCGGU